rnacentral:rRNA from 1 species
GGUGAGUAACGCGGGCAACCUUUCCCAGACAGGGGAAUAACACACCGAAAGGUGUACUAAUACCGCAUAAGACCACGGGAUCACAUGGUUCUGGGGUAAAAGAUUUAUCGGUUUGGGGUGGGCUCGCGUCCGAUUAGGUAGUUGGUGAGGUAACGGCCCACCAAGCCGACGAUCGGUAGCCGACCUGAGAGGGUGAUCGGCCACAUUGGGACUGAGACACGGCCCAAACUCCUACGGGAGGCAGCAGUGGGGAAUAUUGGGCAAUGGAGGAAACUCUGACCCAGCAACGCCGCGUGGAGGAAGAAGGUUUUCGGAUCGUAAACUCCUGUCCUUGGAGACGAGUAGAAGACGGUAUCCAAGGAGGAAGCCCCGGCUAACUACGUGCCAGCAGCCGCGGUAAUACGUAGGGGGCAAGCGUUGUCCGGAAUAAUUGGGCGUAAAGGGCGCGUAGGCGGCUCGGUAAGUCUGGAGUGAAAGUCCUGCUUUUAAGGUGGGAAUUGCUUUGGAUACUGUCGGGCUUGAGUGCAGGAGAGGUUAGUGGAAUUCCCAGUGUAGCGGUGAAAUGCGUAGAGAUUGGGAGGAACACCAGUGGCGAAGGCGACUAACUGGACUGUAACUGACGCUGAGGCGCGAAAGUGUGGGGAGCAAACAGGAUUAGAUACCCUGGUAGUCCACACUGUAAACGAUGAAUGCUAGGUGUAGGGGGUAUCGACCCCUUCUGUGCCGCAGUCAACACAAUAAGCAUUCGUCC